CAACAAUCUUUCAACACCACUGACCACCGCAUCAACCCACCGUCUCCGCAACCACCAGCCCCACCCCACCCACCAUCAAGGCCUCCACUCGACCAGCUGAACCCACCACCAUGAUAGUCAACCCAUUAGCAAUUAACCCAACUGUAGUGAACACACUCAAUAGUGACCUGUGCCAUACAAAAAUCCACCCGGUUUAACAUUUUGAGGGAAUUUUUAAUCAACGUUUUUCUCACAUACUUAAUGUUAAACCUACGUGUUACACUAGUGCAUAUAUCAUUUACCGACAAUUACCGUCAGAUCGACGAUUUCCGACAACGAAGAUUUUAGUCAAGCCCUGAAGAAGGUGUGAACCAAACACCGAAACGUCGGCGAUGAUAACAUAAAAAUCAUUCAGCUCAUCAUAAAGACUGCAAGCCGAAAAUAAACCCUUCCAGUUCAUUGAAAUUCAGUCG